rnacentral:tRNA from 1 species
AAGAUGCUAGUAAAACGGAAAUUACACUGCCUUGUCAAGGCAAAAUUGUGGGUUAAAUCCCCGCGCAUCUUG